GACGAACGCUGGCGGCGUGCUUAACACAUGCAAGUCGAACGGAAAGGCCCUGCUUUUGUGAGGUGCUCGAGUGGCGAACGGGUGAGUAACACGUGAGUAACCUGCCCUUGACUUUGGGAUAACUUCAGGAAACUGGGGCUAAUACCGGAUAGGAGCUCCUGCUGCAUGGUGGGGGUUGGAAAGUUUCGGCGGUUGGGGAUGGACUCGCGGCUUAUCAGCUUGUUGGUGGGGUAGUGGCUUACCAAGGCUUUGACGGGUAGCCGGCCUGAGAGGGUGACCGGCCACAUUGGGACUGAGAUACGGCCCAGACUCCUACGGGAGGCAGCAGUGGGGAAUAUUGCACAAUGGGCGGAAGCCUGAUGCAGCAACGCCGCGUGCGGGAUGACGGCCUUCGGAUUGUAAACCGCUUUCGCCUGUGACGAAGCGUGAGUGACGGUAAUGGGUAAAGAAGCACCGGCUAACUACGUG
rnacentral:rRNA from 1 species